UGUGAUAGGCUCACUGGCAGGCAGGUUCCAUUUCCAGCGGUGUAGCGGCGGCUGCGGGUGAACUGCUUGUGUUUUUUUUUGUGUACGCGUUUGUGAGUGCAGUUUGCGUGUGUGUCAAUUGUGGCAGUCCUCAGCACCACAGCGGAAGGCGGCGGGGGCGGGAGUGGCCCGGGGAGAGGCUCUGCAGGUGGACAGCACGAGUGUUUCACAGCGAGGAGAAAAGUGUGUGCACCUGAGGCGGUCCGUGUUCCGGCCUGGCGGGUAUGCUCCCCCUACCUGUGGAAACUCUCCCGAGCAAGACUGUGUUUGGGGAGGAAGAUUGUGGGUCGAGUGACGAGAGUAUGAGAAGAGUGGUUAAAGAUCUUGGAAUGGUGAGGUGGAACAGACAGUGAGAUAAAGCAGCGCCACCGCCCCUCUCGCGCCGAUGUGACUGACCCUCUGAUUUUUUCUCAACAUCUCAGUAAUGACGGAUCCUGGAUAUCAACUGAAGCAAGGCAGCGCUCAUCAACUUCAGGACCUGAGUCUCCCUCGCGUGGCAAAGAGUCAUAAUCCUGUUGGUCGCCAGUGCCGUGCUCGCCUCAAUAACCAUUCCGUGUGUCAGGGAGGCAUCUGUCAUUGGAACACCACCCAUCGCCUCUCCAUCCUGAACCUUUAACACCUGUGACCAGAAAAUGGCAGCCACCUGUUCUCAUCAGUGUCGGCAGGUGUCGCAUCCAUCACUCCCACCUGCCGUUGAUUGAGGCUCACCUGUCUCACCUGCGUCACCUGCCUCACCUCUCCUCUCAUUUGGGAUUUCUUAAUUUCCCACCUGUGUCCCUUUGUCUCCAUAUUGGUGUAGGUCACUUAGUCUCUCUCUCUCUCUCUCUCUCUCUCUCUCUCUCUCUCUCUCUCUCUCUCUCUCUCUCUCUCUCUCUCUCUCUCUCUCUCUCUCUCUCUCUCUCUCUCUCUCUCUCUCUCUCUCUUUCUCUGUCGUGUACCCAAGAAGACAGGUGAAAAAUGGCGGCUGACUCCACUCUCUAUUAACAAAGAGGAGAUUGUGUUGUCCCUCCCUUCCUCUCCCUGCACCUGAGGAGGAGGGGGAAGAGGAGGAGGAGGUAGGAAAAAGAGGUGAGGGAAAGAGUGCCUUAGCUCACUUCAGCCUACUGUUUUCCCUCCUCUUUUUCCCUCUUUAUUUUAAUCAGGUAUCUAAUUCACCAUUCUUCCUUGUUUGUUCCCUCUCUUCCCUUCUCCUCGGACCUUCCCCUCCACGCCCACACUCUUGUUCUUGCCUGUCUCGCCUCUUUUCCCAUCCUCUCCUACGUCAUCAUUAGUUUUCAUUUGCCUUGCAUUACUUCUCUUCUUGUUCUCGCCCCCGCCUGGUCUCUUAUCUUGCUCAUGUCCCCUCUCGGUGCCUCUUGCUGUCUCUCGCCUUUCAUCCAUGCAUUUUUAUAGUCAUGCAUUCCGCGGGUGAUUUGUAGAGAGAGCUUAGUUAAUUCGCAUUGUUAUUGUUCCUGCGUCGACUGAUCCGCUCUGUGUUUAGUUUAUCAGUAAGGAAGGUUUCAUAGACAGUAUCUUAAGGAGAAUCAAGAAGAAUAGCAACACGCCUCAGCUCAACAGAAACACGGCAGCAGAACUCGAGGCAUCGCUGUUUCGGCGUAUACUCGUGCUGGCGCUGGGCUUGUCUAGGUACGCUUGUGUCUCCCGAGUUAAUGCAUAUGUUAUCUUUGCCAUUACUCUUGUUGUCAGGCUUCGGUCGCCUUUCCAUUGCUGGUCUUUUUGUUAUAUGUUUCAUAAUGGUACUGCGAGUAACGCCAUCAGGGCCUUUGUGGGUCUGUGGUGAGGCUUAAAAGACCAUUUCAGCACACGGCAGUGGGUUUUUAUUUCUACAGCUUAUGCGUAUUCAGGGUUUCAUAAAAAGAUGCAUUUGGCUUGAGACAUUAUUCCUGCAUCUAGUCAGUAUUUUCAAGGACAUAAAAAGGGAGGAAAAGUGUAAAUUUUCAUCGCUUCAGGAAAAAAAAUUGUACUUGUAUGACUUAUUAAUUCCAGAUUGUAAUGGUUAGCGGAACCUUGAUAGUGUUAUAGUAAUUAGCAGGCGUUUUGAAAAUGUGUAUCAGGAUUAGGGCUCAUAUGCUGGAGUGUGUGGCGGGUGUGUGCCUCACGUGUUGCAGCGACACACCACAACCUCUGCAGCAACUAUCCCGGCGCCUCUACUGGUGAGCGGUGUUAGCUAAAGAAAACUCUUCCCGUCCACUAACAGUCAGGAAAGAACAAUUAUUCUUUUGAGUUUUGGAGUGAGUGCUACACGUUUCUACACGUUAAGGAUCUUCAGGGAAUUGGAUACGGUCAGCCAUUUCUUGCUUUGAUAUUAUCUCUUUGUGGCUUCAUCUCAUCCACUUGGGUCCGUCAUGGUCGUUCCAAAAGCGGUCACAACGUACUCUACCAAGGGUAAUACUCGUGCCUUGCUUGCUUAACUACAGGUCCAUUCCCCACAUGGGUCUGGAUGAGUACAGCGCAGAGUAACGCCGCGCAACGUGAGUGAUAAGCUGAGUGACGCACUUACGCGGCACCCCGAGUGAUGCUUGGCCUCCUGUUUGACCACAUUUGGCAGACGCCGAUGGAAGUAUUCGGAUUUUAAGGGAAUUUUCGUUACAAUAGUGAUUAACAAGAUUUCUGUGCCGCUAGUAGGGAAAAUAUCCUUGAGAAAGCGACUGGUAAUCCCUGAGGUCUUUUGAAGGAGACCCAAUAAGAGCACACACAAACACACAAACGCUUCAUUUUUCUUCUUAGAGUUUUUUUUUUUUUUUCAAAUGACUCCUCGUUUUCCUUACAUCGUACAGCGUUUAUACCUCUUUCAUAAAUCUCUCCAUCUCCUGCUGCCGUCGCGCGCCCUUAUAUUACUUUGCCAAUUACUGUAGGAUCUCACACUCGCAGGGACACACGUGACCUUCAGAGCGAUCCCUCUUCUCCCUCACUGAACCGUCUUUUGUGCUGGAGUUUGCUGUGCCUCGCUGUGAUCACACUCCACAGUUCCCGGUAACCAAAAAGACAAAAAUACCCGGCGCCAAUAUCGUAUGACUGUCAAGGGCGCCAUUUAGAAAGCCCUACGCCUCGGAUCUCAUAAAAAUUCCUCGAAAAUUAUUUUAAUCCUGCAGCUUACAGCGGGGCGAUAAAUUUGAGAGCCUUGAAAAGACUUGCAAGGCGCGAUGUUGGAUGACGUACCGGUGCAGCGGCUCAGAAUGAAGGCCGCUUUACAAAUGGAUUCUUUACGUAACAUAUUGAUAUUGCUCUGCAUCACUCAGUCCGCUUUGAGAACCUGCAGCGCGCGGAGUCCUUGAUCAGGCAUCGAGUAAUUUUACGAAGGGAUAAAUUUUGAUAACGAAACGUAUUAGCAACUGAAACACAUUAAAACAGCUGCUCGGCGCCGCUUGAGAGAGGGAACGCUUUCAAAUCUCAUCAUGUAAUGUGUGUGUGUGUGUGUGUGUGUGUGUGUGUGUGUGUGUGUGGUCUUGUAAUUUCUAAAAAGUUAUCAUCUAUUUGACACGUUCGGUCGUUUUCUCUCAUGCAUGGUGGUGUAACAUUUCAAACUAAUCAAAUACUUUACUUGUAACUGUCACACUGGCCUGAGGGUGAUACUUGUGGGAGGCGAACACUUGUAGCGAGACACAGUGAGGCCACACCAGGCAGAGAGGGUCACUGGCCUGGAGAAGCUGCGUCCAUUCAACCCCCAAAGGUGACCUGAGUACACCCGACACUUGGAGGCUGCGGCGCGACACCUCAGACCAUUUAUCUUGUCCGUGUCCACCGAGGCUCGUAUUCAGAAACGCUUUACUCUCUCCCAGCGACUAUCUUCAAAGGCCACAGAGAUGAUUGGCCGGUUUCUCACAUGUGUUUAUCCUGGUAAUAAUGUAGAAAACGUGUUAAUCUGUCAAUAGAAUCUUAAAACCCUCUUAAAAACCUUGUAUCUUUAACUAGAUCCCUCUGAAUUUAGGGGAAGUGCGGCGCUUGAAUAUGGUUUCUACACACACACACACACACACACACACCCACCCACCCACACACCUUGCCCUGCCCCCGCUCACCACCUGCCGCUCACCAAAUGUUUCUUUGAUCGUGAAAUCCACCCUACCAGUCAUAAUUACCCCUGGAAAGUAAUCAUAAAAUCCGUUUGAAUGUCAUGUCAUAAAGUGAUGUAUCCUCUUUGCACUAAUGACGUGAACGAAAUUAAAGUGAAUCGUCGCACACACGGAGGACUUUCGCUAGCCGGUGAACGGGGCGAGCUGGGUGUCAUCAGGUGGAGGUGGAUGGGUGGAUGGGUGGAUGGAUGGUAGUGGUGGACUCUUUUAGUCGUCGAUAUUGGGUUACGAUCCUCGGAUGGCGUUUGGGUUUCUAAUAAUUGUAAUUGUCCUCCUAUUGUGUCACCUUCACCUGGAGUAACAUUUACCGACCUGUGAGGAAAAAAUCACACACACACACACACACACACACACACACACACACACACACACACACACACACACACACACACACACCAGCUACAGUUUCGCCAUCUUGUAAUCUCUGCACAUGUGAUUCAUUAUUCUGGUAUUAAUGUCACUGAUACCAGCGAUGUUAAGGUGAAAAAUGACCCCGCACCAGAGACAGGCUUGGCUUGGCUGGGUGGACGAGGCUGUGUGGGAGUGGCUGGUGAGCUGCCCUAGUUGUGCGUGGUGGGCGGCGAUAUUCCUGGCUGGAGGGGGACCUGUGCUGCAUAACGCUGAAGCUGCUCUGUGUCUUCCUUCCUCCCGACCUUUGCUUACGGGACACAAAGGAGCAUAAAGGAAGACCAAGCGACAGCAGACCUAUUGGCUCUUAUGAUAUUCUCAGUUAGAGAUUACACAAUGUCCCUGGGGUCACAUAUGUACACGCUGAUGUUGCCUCCUCUCUAUAUUUCAUGUAGGGAGACAAAAGGUAAUGGGUGCACGUAAUACUCGCCACUCUGUUAAUCAAGUUGGCUGCUCAGGUGGAACAAAGGUAAACUAAUUAUCUUUAUGACCUUUAAAUCCUGACGUUUCUGCUUGUUUGUUUGUUUGUUUAUUUUUUAUUUUGUUGUUUUGUUUAAAGCGUUAUCAUAUCAUGGAAUACUCUUGACGCCCACUCCUCUUUGCGUCACACACACACACACACACACACACACACACACACACACACACACACACACACACACACACACACACACACACACACACACACACACACACACCUGCUGAUGCCUUCCACACACAAACUUGUUAAUGGUAGCUUUACAUACCUCCUACAUAAAAAAAAAGCAAUACUAGUAAGAUAUAAAAAAGAAUAAUGCAGUCUACAUCUCGGGAACUCAAUGCUUAUAGAAAAUUUUCCUUCCCUACAACUUAAGCUACAUCAAGAGAGAAAUAUUAGGGCACCUGUUCAACUAAAUUUCAACUAAAAUGGCCUUUCCGUUCAGAUUUUAUAGUAUUUUGUACUGUUUUCCUUCGGAGCGAUAAUUCCGCGGUCUUUUCCUCCUUUACCACAUUUUCUGUUCAUAUGGAAAGUUUUCAUAACACGCAAGAAGAAAAUCAAAGAAAACUGCAAACAUUCCGUAAAUCGCCGUCACCUCGACCCUUGGCAAUCGUGGUUAAUAGAAUGCUCCCGUCUGAGUUGCGAAGUAGCGGUGAUGGGGUCAGAUGGUGGAGCUUCGCGUUGAUAUACAGCAUCACAUUCACAUAUAUAUAGCAUCAAAUUCUUGUAUGCAUGACCAGUUUGCUUCUUAAUGGGUGAAAGCUGAAGACAGAACCCAGGACUGCAUGUCGCUCCGGGAAUUAAAUGUUUCAACGGAGAAAGAAGACCAAGUUUAUUUUUCUGCAUAUAAUGAGUGAGCUUGGAUAUUUUUCACUCUUUUUCACUUGUUGAGCACGGCCAGUAUGUGUGUGUGUGUGUGUGUGUGUGUGUGUGUGUGUGGUGCGGGCGGGGGUGGGAGUGUGGGAGGGAGACGUGGGAGGUGCCGGAUGUAGUUGCAUGGUCACUAUAAAUUACAGCGAGGUUUUCAAGAGGCUUUCUCUUUCCAACCUUCGCUGUAAUGUCCGGGAGGGCUUAUCUCUCUCUCUCUCUCUCUCUCUCUCUCUCUCUCUCUCUCUCUCUCUCUCUCUCUCUCUCUCUCUCUCUCUCUCUCUCUCUCUCUCUCUCUCUCUCUCUCUCUCUCUCUCUCUCUCUCUCUCUCUCUCUCUCUCUCUAAUGGGAUAUACAUCAGGGAUUAAUUACUUUAACACUUUCGUUAUAAAUGAUGGACAACAUUUUUUUUUUAGUUUUAAUUUUCAUUUAAGUAUAUUUGUAGGUACAGAAACAAAUGGCGCUACCUUCUUUCUGUGUCUUGUUCUUUUGCGCCACUUAAUGGUCCCUUUUUUCUUUCUCUCCCACUCUCUCUUUCUUUCCUCUCACUCCGGGGUCUUGUCGUUCCCUGAUGCUACUUUCUGUUGCAGGUGAAGUGUUGCCACACACGCAACAACACCUCAGGGAACGUUGCACACAAUGUUACCAGCACGCACACACACACACACACACACACACACACACACACACACACACACACACACACACACACACACACACACACACACACACACACACACACACACACACACACACACCAAAAAAAAUGAGAGAAAGAAAAAAAAACUGUCUCGCUCUUGUCAUUUCUUUCAGCGUAUUAACUCCUCUGCUUUAAUCUUCUUCUUGUACGUGUUUAGACCCCUCCCCACAAAAAAAAAAAAAAAAAAAAUCAACGGUGCACUGGUAGCUGGAGUGUGAUUGGAUUAUCUCUUAAUUGUGUGCUUCCUUUAAUCAUCCUCAGAACAUUAUCAGAAUUUUCUAUCCUCAUUUCCCUCUGCCUGUCAUUUUCCAGGAUGCCAUUUUACUGGAUCUGUUUUUUUUUUUCUUUUUUUUUUUUGUUAAUUAGACUAAACAACCUUAAAAGAACUAGGAAGAGUUUGAGACUUAGGACGAGGAGGAGGGAGAGGGCAAAUAAAGUCUUGGAUGAGGAAAGUUAUCUUGUACGAAGUGAUUGAAUUGAGUUAGAGGCCGCCAUGGACAGGCCUGCAGAAAGUUUAGGUGUGUAAUCUUAAUUUGGGUAAUUAAUGUACAAUUUUGGUGUCCAUUCUUUCACUUUGGUCUUUAGUAUUUUUAUUUAUUUAUUUAUUUAUUUAUUUAUUUAUUUAUUUAUUGCUAUUUAUGUAAUCUGGAUUCUCUAAUUUCUUAAAAAUCCUGUCUUUAAUUUUUCGCAGAGAUUAAUUUUCUACGUGUUUUCGUGCUUAGAUCUUCCUCGUAGUUCAGUUCACGUCCCUUGCAUUUUAUUUUCAAUUAUUCAAUUUAAGAACUUGCCGAUAAGUGUGCAUUUUUUUUCUUUGUGACUUUUCUGUGAGUUUCUUCAAUUCUGUUUUUCAUUUCUUUUUUCAGAAUUUUAUUCAGAACUAACACACACACACACACACACACACACACACACACACACACACACACACACACACACACACACACACACACACACACACACACGUCUUCAUAUCGCUUUUUUAUGUUCCUUUUUUUUAACAAAAUAAAUGAAAUGUGGAAUUUUUGGUAAUGCAA